AAAUAAACUGAAACAAUAAUAAAUUAAAAAUGAGAUAAAAGACUGAAAGUGGGAUCAAAUGAGAUAAACUGAAAAUUGAGAUCAAAACUGUCAACAAAAUAACAGGGGGGUUUGAGAUUGAUUGUAGUAAACUAAUAAUGAGAAUAAUAAUGGAAAGCAAAUAAUUAAAUAAAAAGUAAUCAAUAAUGAGAAAGCUCUAGUUGAAGUAUUGGAUCCACUUUAGUUAUUGGGAUUGAUCACAGACACUUUGUUCUUUUGGGUUGAUUCAAUAGAUUAG
rnacentral:lncRNA from 1 species